rnacentral:rRNA from 1 species
UACAGAGGUCCCAAGCGUUGUUCGGAUUCACUGGGCGUAAAGGGUGCGUAGGUGGCAGGGCAAGUUUGAUGUGAAAGCUCCGAGCUCAACUCGGAAAUGGCAUUGAAUACUGCCUUGCUAGAGGAUUGGAGGGGGGACUGGAAUUCUCGGUGUAGCGGUGAAAUGCGUAGAUAUCGAGAGGAACACCAGUGGCGAAGGCGAGUCCCUGGACAAUACCUGACACUGAGGCACGAAAGCUAGGGGAGCAAACAGG